rnacentral:rRNA from 1 species
CGGCCGCGUCGACCCGCAUAACAAUGGAUGACACAUGUCAUUUAUUUGAAAGGGGCAAUUGUUCCACUACAAGAUGGACCUGCGUUGUAUUAGCUAGUAGGUGAGGUAAUGGCUCACCUAGGCGACGAUACAUAGCCGACCUGAGAGGGUGAUCGGCCACACUGGGACUGAGACACGGCCCAAACUCCUACGGGAGGCAGCAGUGGGGAAUAUUGCACAAUGGGGGAAACCCUGAUGCAGCGACGCCGCGUGAGCGAAGAAGUAUUUCGGUAUGUAAAGCUCUAUCAGCAGGGAAGAUAAUGACGGUACCUGACUAAGAAGCUCCGGCUAAAUACGUGCCAGCAGCCGCGGUAAUACGUAUG